UACAAGUGUACCAAGAAGAACUAUAGUACCAAGCAUCGUUAGGACCAUUCUCAUAUUUGCAAGUGUCCUUGAAGCAAGCAUCAUCUCAACACUUUGUUAAUGUGUUGAGAAGAAUUGAGUUGAUAACAGAAGCAAAAUACAGAUUUGAAACUGGUAUUCACGAAUUUCAAGAUAACCACAAUGGAUUACUUAAUAACAGUCAAGACCGGUGAUCGAGCUGAGCUGGAACAAAUUUACAGUUUCUAUCAAACUUACUGGUAAGAAUGGUAAGGAAACUCGGUAUUUUGAGUUGGACAAAUUUUUGCAAAUGAUUUCGAAGAAGGCGAUGAGGA